rnacentral:rRNA from 2 species
GACAGAGGGUGCAAACGUUGUUCGGAAUUACUGGGCGUAAAGCGCGUGUAGGCGGCUUGGCAAGUCGGGUGUGAAAGCCCCGGGCUCAACCUGGGAAGUGCACUCGAAACUGCUUGGCUUGAGUACUGGAGAGGGAAGCGGAAUUCUCGGUGUAGAGGUGAAAUUCGUAGAUAUCGAGAGGAACACCGGUGGCGAAGGCGGCUUCCUGGACAGUUACUGACGCUGAGACGCGAAAGCGUGGGGAGCAAACAGG